rnacentral:rRNA from 1 species
UACGUAUGGUGCAAGCGUUAUCCGGAAUGACUGGGUGUAAAGGGAGCGUAGACGGUUGUACAAGUCUGAUGUGAAAGCCCACGGCUCAACUGUGGGAGUGCAUUGGAAACUGUAGAACUAGAGUAUCGGAGAGGCAAGUGGAAUUCCUAGUGUAGCGGUGAAAUGCGUAGAUAUUAGGGGGAACACCAGUGGCGAAGGCGGCUUGCUGGACGAAAACUGACGUUGAGGCUCGAAAGCGUGGGGAGCAAACAGG